GACGAACGCUGGCGGCGUGCUUAACACAUGCCAGUCGAACGGAAAGGCCCUGCUUUUGUGGGGUGCUCGAGUGGCGAACGGGUGAGUAACACGUGAGUAACCUGCCCUUGACUUUGGGAUAACUUCAGGAAACUGGGGCUAAUACCGGAUAGGAGCUCCUGCUGCAUGGUGGGGGUUGGAAAGUUUCGGCGGUUGGGGAUGGACUCGCGGCUUAUCAGCUUGUUGGUGGGGUAGUGGCUUACCAAGGCUUUGACGGGUAGCCGGCCUGAGAGGGUGACCGGCCACAUUGGGACUGAGAUACGGCCCAGACUCCUACGGGAGGCAGCAGAGGGGAAUAUUGCACAAUGGGCGGAAGCCUGAUGCAGCAACGCCGCGUGCGGGAUGACGGCCUUCGGGUUGUAAACCGCUUUCGCCUGUGACGAAGCGUGAGUGACGGUAAUGGGUAAAGAAGCACCGGCUAACUACGUG
rnacentral:rRNA from 1 species